rfam:Arabidopsis thaliana chromosome 5, complete sequence.
CGAUGAAAGUAGCAGGACAAUGGAACAUAUCAAUUGAUUUUUUGUCGACUCCAAAUUUUGACAUUUAGUUAAGCGUGCUUGGGCGAGAGUAGUACUAGGAUGGGUGACCUCCCGGGAAGUCCUCGUGUUGCAUCCC